AGUGUUUUUUAUAUUAAUUUUUAAAAUGUUAGAAUGGGGCAUGAAUGAAGAAUGAAAAUUUAAAAUUUUAAAAUGUUACCCAUUUGGGCGAGAGUAGUACUAGGAUGGGUGACCUCCUGGGAAGUCCUCGUGAAAGGGUUU
rnacentral:rRNA from 1 species